CAAGAUUAAUGAAGUUUGAAUAGAGACAUUAUUUUACGUAUCUAAGUCAAUCAUUCUUAAUGUAGGUAAAAUUACAAAUAUAAGUGUAUGUAAUAUUUUCGCUGUGUUGAUACUUGUCUACAGAAUUGCAGAGAUUGUGUCAUGCAAUAAUUGCGUACUAUGUAUAUAUAUGUAUAUAUACCACAAUUCGGAAAGCAAAAUGACACAAUGAAGAAGGUAACUGAAGUUUUUCCUUGUUGGGAUUGGCUGACAAUUCGUUGUUGCGAUAGUACCGCCACCGUGACCAAAGGUUGCAAGAGUUAGUGUUGAGUCUAUGAUUAUGUAAUUGAACAGGUAAGAAACUUCGGCGUUUUUUGAGAACCAAUCUGUAUUCAGUAUGCAAAUUAUGUACAGACGUGUGCGCCCAAAUGAAUGUAUGGCUACCGAAUCAUAAAACCUGUCGUAAUGCAAAUGAGAUAAAUACAUGUUCAUAGAACAGACCUGAGCAAAUUUUCUUUGAAGUGAAAAUAAGAAAUAACUAUGUAAAAUAA